UACGGGGGGGGCAAGCGUUGUUCGGAAUUACUGGGCGUAAAGGGCUCGUAGGCGGCCAACUAAGUCGGACGUGAAAUCCCCAGGCUCAACCUGGGAACUGCGUCCGAUACUGGAUGGCUUGAAUUCGGGAGAGGGAUGCAGAAUUCCAGGUGUAGCGGUGAAAUGCGUAGAUAUCUGGAGGAAUACCGGUGGCGAAGGCGGCAUCCUGGACCGCAACUGACACUGAUGAACGAAAGCCAGGGGAGCAAACGGG
rnacentral:rRNA from 1 species